rnacentral:rRNA from 24 species
UGUGACCCCAGGUCAGGCGGGACUACCCGCUGAGUUUAA